rnacentral:SRP_RNA from 1 species
GCUGGGCGUGAUGGUGCACGCCUAUAAUCCCAGCUACUCUGGAGGCUGAGGCAGGAGAAUCACUUGAACCUGGGAGGUGGAGGUUGCAGUGAGCUGAGAUUGAGCCACUGCACUUCAACCUAGGUGACAGAGUGAAACUCUGUCUCUA